rnacentral:lncRNA from 1 species
AGGGAAUUGUGUCACUCCCAUUGAGCAGCUGUGGGGCCCUCUCCCACAUGGCCCAGGUCCACCACUCUGUCAAAGGUCGCACAGCCCAGACAAAAACAGGACACAGCAGUGUGUGAAUGAGCCGGGCUUUCUCCUUCCCUCCACGUAAUAGAAGGUGCCUGAGGUUGUUGAAACACAGUCCAUUUCUCCUGGGAAUGACAAGAAUUUGAGGGAUGCUGACUUUCAAGGAAUACUGCAUGACAGGCAUCAAGAUAAACCUGAUGAAGAAAACAUAGGCCAGAAUCUGGGAAUCGGGAGCAAAGUAAUACAGCUUCGGGGACAGGCACGUAAUGAGGUCAUGAUGUAGGAGACUCCCUGCAGGACUGGCGGCCCCUGUUCCCUGGGUUGUUCUGGCUCUUUCAGCAUAUCAGAAUGUCACUCAUCUCCCACCACGCUUACCCAGGAUUCACCAUGCUGCUUUCUUGCCUGGCCUUGCUUGAGCGCUCUCUGGCCUCAGUAUGCUCAGUGCACAGCAUUAACUCCCAUCUUCCAAGUCUUGACCAUGCAAUCAGAAGAGACAUGGAGAACCUACCAUGAGCCAGACACUUUUUCUACCCGUUUCCGUGCAAUACUUCAUUUUGGUUUUACAACAUUCCUUCUGGGUAGGAUGCACAGUUUAUUUACAUUUUAUAGAUAAAAUUAUUGAGGUGUCAAAAGGCUGAGUGGUUUUCCCAAAGCUACAACCUUGUACAUUUUGGAGACAGGCCUGAAACUGUUGGAGGGGUUCAGAGCCCACCUCCUUCUCUUCAGCAUCACUAUGCACCACGGCUGGGCCAGCCCUGGUCUUGAGUCUCGUAGAAGGUCUCUAUUUGCAUUAAAUGUUAACAAGAAGCCGUCAUAGAAGAUCCUCCUUCUGUUGGUUUCUUUUCUGCUUGGACUCUGGCAUAGUAAAAAAAUUCACACACAACUCAUUUUGAAAAACCAAAUGAAACAAAACAAAGGUCCUCUUAGUCAUAGCAUCAAAACUGAAAGUUAGUGAAGGGCUUAGAAAUUCACCCUGACUUUACACAGGAGGUAAUAGCCACUGGGAAUACCGAGUAACUCCCCUUCCACCCACACCAGAUGGUUUCUGGUGGAGCCAGGACAGCGCUCCUGCCCCAGGACCUCAGGACGAGGACGAAGUCCUGGGCUCUGUUGGAACACAGCAUAGGAUAAUUCUCACAGCUGGGUGGGCCUGGGAGGCAGGAGGCAGAUGUGUGCUGAGGGCCACCUGCCAGAUUUAGAGAUGGAGCACGGAUGGAUUGAGAAGAGGUUCUGAGACAGAAGUAUUGCUCUAAGGAUCUGGCGUAGACAAAUAGACCCUCCUUGGAAAGAUGAGUGGCCCUGGGGUUGUCCCCAAAUCUCUGGACCAGCCCAAGCCUAUGACUCCCUGCACAAGGGCACCUGCUCUCACUGCGCAAGGAUCUCUGGACUUUCUCCUCCAAAGACCUGCUCCUGGAACACAGAGCCCCUCUUCUCCUUCGUAUUGGGACCCGCCUGGCCUCACACUAGGAAUGUCCCCUGGACAGCAGUUUGAAGGCCCUAUGCUCGCUCACUGCACUAAGGAUUCUUGAGCGAUGGGCGACUUGGUCGACACACAACCCGGGCCCACUGUGCGGAAUUGCGUCGAAUAAGCUUCUCCCUGGGGCAGAGUCCCUGCCUGUCCUUGCCGCCCCCGUCCUGUUCUCGUCCCUCUAUCCUCCAACCCUCCCCAAGGCCCUUUCUCCCCCUACUUCAAGGAUGGGGCCCUUUUCCGAGCACUUUGCUCAUUGCAAAACAUAACCAAAUUAAACAAAACAAAGCCCAUUUUGGUUUGGGCCUCUAAUGUUCUCCUAAAUGCUCUCUGAUUUUCCAUUUGAACCCUAAUUUUUCUCAGCCUAUUUCUGCAAUAAAUUAUCACUGUGUUUUGAGAAAGUGAUAGAUUUUGAACCCUUUGGCCCAUAUUCUUUAAUGAAUCCUCUUUUAGAUUGUAGAGUUUCAUCUGAGCUUCCCAAUCUUAACUCCUCACUCCCCGCCUCACCCCAUAGGGAAGUUAGAAGGAUCCGAAGAAGUGGGUUCCUAUCAGAGUCUGGCGUCUCCACUGUGGACAUGCCACUUAACAUCACCUGACCUCUGGAUGAAUCAAGUCAGUCAGCUUAGCAGGCUCUAAAGCCCCUUUAAUUCAAAAACUUGGAGCCUGUAUUUUCUUUUCCUUAGAUGCCCAUGAUUUUUUUUAAAAAUAGGGAUUCUAGUUUUCCAUCCAAGACCCUUGCACACUUCAGUACACUUAGUGUGGGGUUCACUUUCCAGACCCGGUCUCCAGGUGCUGUCUGCUUCUCCAGUCAUGUUAGCCUGAAACGGCGACUGAUUCAUGUGCACACUUCGGCUCCCCAGGCCAGAAUGCUGUCACUCUGGGGAGGAAUUAUGGUUUCACUUUUUGCUUCAUUCCUGCUGUAGAGAACAGGCACCCAUCAAAGUCCAGAGUAAACAGACACUGUUUCACGUGCAGCAGAUGGAAGUCUUUAUCCAUGAUUACUUUUGUCCUAUGUCUUUCAUGUCCCCCUGUUUUUUUGACGCCUCCCACUUUUCCCUUUUAAAUACUCUGGGUGAUGGUUAAAAGCAAGAUGACUGCUGGUUUAUUCGUCACACCGGAAGCAAGAAAAAGUUACAUGCAGGCAAAGGAGCUGGAUGCAGGAUCUCAUCUGAAGGACAAGAUCACUUAGCCAUGCACGGGCAAGAAAGAACUGAAUGUUUCUGAAUAGAGGAAACGUUAGUCCCGGAUUUCAACCGAGAGAAGGAAUGCUGAGAGUUCUUGACAGCGAGGGCUUCGGCAGGGGUGACACGCCUUUGAUUUAGAAUGGUUAGCACAUACCCACAUGCACACAUGACCUGCCUUAGUUUCAGGAUAUGGAAACUUCUGAACAGAAUUGUGGGUACAGCUGCAUUUACACAUAUUUACUGGGCACUUAUCACAUAUAGCAAAAUAUCCUGAAGAGUAAAUUACAAUCCUCUCCCAUCUUGAAGGCACUUAUGAAAUUCUGUCUGUAUUUACUCUUUCUUUAGGGUUAGUGAGCAGCAAUGUGUUGCUGAUAAUUCUAAUGUUGCUCCUGGAAAUGUGUUAUUUUAAGAGAUUCACAUCCUCCAUGUGGGGUUGGAAACAUCUGUUCAGAACAGAACGUAUCAGUUAAGAUUAUAUUUUGCUCCUCCCAGUUUGAGUCCAGAUGGUUACAUCUACGCGCUAUGUACUACAAGUUUCAAUUAUCUACUGUAAUUUUAUUUCUUUUAUUUUGUAUGUCUAAUGAAGCUAAUAUUUAAAAUAACUCCUAAUAUAUUUCUAAUGUGCUAAAAGCUAAAGGUCCUUAAGUGUGUGUGUAUGUGUGUGUGUGUCUGUUAAAAUGUUGUAAGAUUACUAGAUGCUAAGAAUGCCAUUUUUAGGCCAGGCGCGGUGGCUCACUCCUAUAAUCCCAGCACUUUGGGAGGCCUAGGCAAGCG